rnacentral:rRNA from 1 species
UACGUAGGGGCCGAGCGUUGUCCGGAGUUAUUGGGCGUAAAGCGCGCGCAGGCGGCUUCGCGCGCCCGACGUGAAAGCCCCCGGCUUAACCGGGGAGAGUCGUUGGGGACGGCGGGGCUUGAGGGCGGGAGAGGUCGGUGGAAUUCCCGGUGUAGUGGUGAAAUGCGUAGAUAUCGGGAGGAACACCAGUGGCGAAGGCGACUACCUGGCCUGUUUCUUGACGCUGAGGCGCGAAAGCUAGGGGAGCAAACGGG